CUGCUUUCUGUGAGGGGUUGUUCUGUAGAUAGAGAUCCUUUCACCAGUUGGGCCCUUUUAUUUUCUUGGGCUGCUGCUAAUCAGUAACUACAUUUUCCUGACUUCGGGGUCAUUACUGUGUUUCCUUUGCUGUAAGGAUUUAAAAGGGCUUUCCUAUCACUGACAAAUACCAAACCAGCUGCAGAAUGGAUCAGUAUUUAAAUGGGUUGCAUUGUGUGAACAGAGAAUGCAAAAAAUGCACAACUUAUGUUGACUGCAGAGUGCUCUACUUCAGUCAUCCACCAAAGAAUGCCUGAAAAUCUGAGAUGACUUCUAGGACUUUGAGUCUGGAAAGCAUUUUAUGGCUCCAAAGUGAGGCUCUGCUGUUACUUAAUAUUUGUGUGGAGCCAUAGGUGAUUUACAUGGCCUGCAGCCCAAAGACAUCGCAAUCUAAAUUGAGCUCUACAAGACAAGAUGCUGAGAAAGAUAACAGCAAGGAAGGAAAUGGAGGAGGAUUCCACUAGACAGAUUUAUGGGCUGUUUGGGAAGUACUAUUAUGCAGCUUCACUGAAGUAGAACAGUAUACUGUUCAGGAGAAUCUAUAUCCAAGAUGCACAAAUGAAACACCCAACACAUUUUUUAAUUAAAUCAUAAUCUAAAUAAGAAAAGAAACCUGUAUCAGCUUGCUCCAUUAAUCGUAGAAUCAUAGAAUGACUUGGGUUGGAAGGUACCCCAAGGAUCACCAAGUUCCGACCACCCUGCCACAGGCAGGGCUACCAGCAUCUAGAUCUGGUACUAGAUCAGGUUGCCCAGGG